GAAACAGCGAGAGUGGGCGGUGGACAAGAGGUGAUAACGGGGGUGCACACCAUCAGACUACAUCAGCGAGGAUCGGAGGCGAUGAAGCUAUGAAGCUAUGAAGCCCGAGUUGCCUUGACCAUCCAAGCUGCAUCACCUCUGCCUUGAUACAGACUCUAGUUGCUCAUCCUGCUUUGGCUGCACCAAGGGGAGUUUUCAUGAGCAGACACUUUGAGGUUGUAACACAGUGGUGCGAUGUCACUAAUGACUACUCUCUGCUGCUUUCCUGCUCGGCCUCGAGGAUCUUGACCAGCCCUGUCUAGCCAUCAGACUUUCAGGGCCCCACUAAUGAAAACUUCAAAACUGGGUGAGAGAAAAGGGAAGUUGAACAAAGGCAUCUUGUGGCAACAACAAAUAAGAGAAUGGGAAGGAAAACAACCAGAAGCUGUUCAAGAAAAUCCCCCAAGUCAUGUGGACCACACAGAAAUGAGGGUCAGAGACCAAAGCACAUCAAAACUCUAGAGGCACUAAAAAUCCUGAAAAACUGAUAAUGAGCACCUAAACAGCGCUGGUGGUGCUAGAGCUACUAACUCUACAGGAACAAAGUGAGAAGGAGUUUCCCAGCUUGCUCAUACUUGCCUUCCUCUGGAAAACCGUCCAAACAGGUGUCUGUCUUCUCUGGGAAACUUCCACUGAAAGUUGCAGUUCAAGCACACUAAUUAGUCAUUAUGAAAUUACUGCCUUUCCCUUGGUACUCUAGCUUCAUAAAAGGAUUGCGAAAUUCAAGCCCUUUUCUAUCACAGAGAGGUCUGUAGGACAGACAGUGUCACCAAUUUACACUGGUAGUACUGAGUUCAGGGAACUUACUCAUUUUCAGUAUUGGUUUUCUAUAAAUUACUGACGAAUUAUCUUUGUCAUUUCUGGUAUUAUCUGUUCUUAAAGUCCCAGAGAUUUCUAUAGCAGCUGUCCACGUUGUUGGCUUAAAAGCCCUCAGUUGUUCUGUCUCACUGAGGCCUCAUAGCCAGAACAAACCGAAUGUGGAAGAAAGGGUCAUGUGGACACCAUUCCUGAGGAUAGAGCUGCGCUUGUGCUUCCCAAGAGCCUGGGCUGCCAAGGAUGCCAGGAUGGGCAGACUCUCAGUAAAGCGGGCAGACAGCACUCAGGAGAAUUCCUAAGAUUCUUCCGUGCUCUCUGAAGCCUGUGAUUACUAAAACCAAGUUUGAAACUGGUCUUGCCCUGCUUCUUGCCUUUGCCAGGUGUUCUUUCUUAAGGAGACUAAACAACAGGAUCCCAAACUAUCACCAAGGCCUCUUGCCAGUGCAUGCUGCUUACAAAGAAGGUUUCCACCAAUGACCAGGUUGCAGGGCUGUUGACUCUUCCCCAAAGCUUUUCCACGACCCCCACUUUUAUAAUACACCUCAACUUAGUUUAUCCAUCUUAGUGAGGGUACAGAGGCAAUGCCUCCACCAUCUUUUGCAAGAAGAGUCCAGAUAGACCUAGUUCACACAAGUAGAUCAUUAAGCCAAACAAUAACUCCAGAAAGGAGAGCAAAGAUCUCUAAAUAUAUGUGUAGAAAUGCCGGGUUGUGUGUAGUGGCGACUAUGUGGCC